AGACUGUGGUGUGGACAGCAUCUCAACAAAUCCUUGUAUCUCUCCCAGUCAUCAUACAUGCUUUUUUCUUCCAUCUGAACAAAAGAUGAAUUGUCAUUCCUUAAUUU
rfam:Ricinus communis cultivar Hale ctg_1100012359313, whole genome shotgun sequence.